rnacentral:rRNA from 1 species
CCUACGGGAGGCAGCAGUGAGGAAUAUUGGUCAAUGGACGAGAGUCUGAACCAGCCAAGUAGCGUGAAGGAUGACUGCCCUAUGGGUUGUAAACUUCUUUUAUAUGGGAAUAAAAUGUUCCACGUGUGGGAUUUUGUAUGUACCAUAUGAAUAAGGAUCGGCUAACUCCGUGCCAGCAGCCGCGGUAAUACGGAGGAUCCGAGCGUUAUCCGGAUUUAUUGGGUUUAAAGGGCGCGUAGGUGGAUUGUUAAGUCAGUUGUGAAAGUUUGCGGCUCAACCGUAAAAUUGCAGUUGAAACUGGCAGUCGUGAGUACAGUAGAGGUGGGCGGAAUUCGUGGUGUAGCGGUGAAAUGCUUAGAUAUCACGAAGAACUCCGAUUGCGAAGGCAGCUCACUGGACUACAACUGACACUGAGGCUCGAAAGUGUGGGUAUCAAACAGGAUUAGAUACCCCUGUAGUC